rnacentral:rRNA from 1 species
UACGUAGGGGGCAAGCGUUGUCCGGAAUCAUUGGGCGUAAAGAGCGUGUAGGCGGUCCGGUAAGUCGGCUGUGAAAGUCCAGGGCUCAACCCUGGGAUGCCGGUCGAUACUGCCGGACUAGAGUUCGGAAGAGGCGAGUGGAAUUCCCGGUGUAGCGGUGAAAUGCGCAGAUAUCGGGAGGAACACCUAUGGCGAAGGCAGCUCGCUGGGACGUUACUGACGCUCAUGCACGAAAGCGUGGGGAGCAAACAGG